UGACUACGGAUUCUUUCCAAUCCACCGACGUCACUUUAAACAUGUUCGAGGAAAGGAUGCCAUUCAUCAAUAAGGUGAUAUAGAACUGGGAGCCGUUGCUGUGUGGCCCCUUGUUGGCCAUACCCAGAGUGCCUCGCUUGGUGUGAGAAAGAGCGAAGCUCUCAUCUGAACGCAGACAUACGGAAGCCUCCGGCUGGUCGCACGUGAAAGCCCACUGGUCUUUGGCCCAGGUGACGAGAGCAUCGUUGUCCCCAAUGAACUGGCCAUCCACAAAGCACAUGACGCCACUGGAGAACUGCCACAUUUCGC